UUCUGCCAUUCAGUGGCUUAUGUAUCGCCGAGUUUUUGUUUUUUGUUCGUCAAUUACAAUAGUUUUUAAAUAUCACUGCUAUUACAGUGCGGGUUUUUAACAGUGAAUAUGUUGUUAAGUGCUUAAUUCAGCUAAAUGUGUUUCUGAACAUCAAUUUUGGAAGCUUACCUACCUACCUACAUAGAGAAUAUAAAAGAACUUGGACCUUCAUUGCACUGGAUAUGGUUGAGAUUGAGAUUUGCCGACGAUUAUAAGUAUGACCUAAGCAGUGCCUCAGGCAUGACCCAGGAAGAAACGAUGCAGCCAGUUGAUCCAGUUUGGAUAGAGCAGGUUUUGAGCACAACUCGAAACGUGCAACAACAGAGUCUUUGGUGAUUCAAAGAAUUUACGAGACGCUGCAACCAGAAACGCCAGAAUUGGAAACAACACGAAAAGCACAGGAGGUGACAGAAAGAUGUAUUUUUCAAACAUAAUGUAAUUUAAUUUUAUUAGAAGGCAACCU